CCACAACGUUAGUUCUCUCUCUUUGUUCAGCGAACUUUUGUGUGGUGGAAGUUGCAACAUGUCCUCUUCAGAAAGUUGCUUUGUGAUUGCAGGCGUAGUCUCCAGUCUACUUCACGAUGGGAGUGCUGAAGCACGUGGCUUCGGAUGAUUUGCGCCAUAGGCGUUUGUAGCCCACUUGUUGAACGUCUGUAUUCGAUGCAUCAAUUAUAAAUCGCAGUAAACGCGAUGAAGAGUUCAGUUGGCGAUUUCACAGAUGGUAAGAAUGAAGUUCCCAACUGCAAAAAUGUGGUGGCCUCCUAAGAGAUGCGAGAAGACCGAAGUCCUUUUGGUGGUAUACGUUUUGGAAUAUGAUCUCUGGCUUCUGCAUGGAUGUUAAUGUGCAAAUGUAACUUUGAAACUUUUUAAAUGGUGUUAGAGUUUUGAAUGCAUUUCUGUUUGGAUGGAUGUCUUCAAUAAAAGUGUGAAUAAACCUUAACUUGUGGUGUGCAUGGCUAUCAGGUCACUAUUGUUUGAU
ensembl:lncRNA uncharacterized LOC107558593